rnacentral:rRNA from 1 species
CUAAUGCCGGAUAUUGUGUCCUACUGCAUAGUAGGUUAACGAAAGAUUUAUCGUUGUGGGAUGAGCUUGCGUCCGAUUAGCUAGUUGGCGGGGUAAUAGCCCACCAAGGCGACGAUCGGUAGCCGGCCUGAGAGGGUGAUCGGCCACAUUGGGACUGAGAUACGGCCCAGACUCCUACGGGAGGCAGCAGUAGGGAAUAUUGCGCAAUGGGGGGAACCCUGACGCAGCAACGCCACGUGUGGGAAGAAGCAUUUCGGUGUGUAAACCACUGUCGGAAAGGAAUAACGGAAGACUUCGGUCUUUAUGAAUGUACUUUUAGAGGAAGCACCGGCAAACUUCGUGCCAGCAGCCGCGGUAAUACGAGGGGUGCAAGCGUUGUUCGGAAUCACUGGGCGUAAAGGGAGCGUAGGCGGAAGUGCAAGCAAUCUGUAUAAUCCUGGGGCCCAACCCCAGUCCUGCAGAUUGGACUGUAUUUCUUGAAUAGCUCAGAGGCAAGCGGAAUUUCUGGUGUAGCGGUGGAAUGCGUAGAGAUCAGAAGGAACACCAAUGGCGAAGGCAGCUUGCUGGGGACUUAUUGACGCUGAGGCUCGAAAGUGUGGGUAGCAAACAGGAUUAGAUACCCUGGUAGUCCACACUGUAAACGAUGCAUACUGGGUGUCCGAAAUUCGUUUCGGGUACCGUAGCUAACGCGUUAAGUAUGCCGCCUGGGGAGUACGUACGCAAGUAUGAAACUCAAAGGAAUUGACGGGGGCCCGCACAAGCGGUGGAGCAUGUGG